rnacentral:misc_RNA from 1 species
GGAAGUAAAAGUCAUAAUAAGGUUUCCGUAGGUGAACCUGCGGAAGGAUCAUUAAAGAACGCCCCGUUUUUUGAAAUGGGUAAUUCUAAACCGUGUAUACAUACCUUUGUUGCUUUGGCAGGCCGCCCCUCAGGGCGUCGGCUCCGGCUGACUGCGCCUGCCAGAGGACCCAAACUCUUUUGUUUAGUGAUGUCUGAGUACUAUAUAAUAGUUUAAACUUUCAACAACGGAUCUCUUGGUUCUG